GGAAGAUGGCGGCGUCCAGGGGAGGUUGAGGGCUCUGAGGAGGCGUUGAGAGGUUUCCGUACAGCCCGAACGUGCGGCUUUGGGGAUCCCUUCGCUCUGUGUUUCCUGCUCCAGGUUUCGCGUCUCGCAUCUUCCCAGACCCUCGGGCGCGAUGUGGAGGAGCUGCCUCCGGCUGCGGGACGGGGGACGCCGUCUCCUGAAUCGGCCUGCGGGUGGCCCCAGUGCUUCUAUGAGUCCGGGGCCAACCAUCCCGUCUCCAGCCCGGGCUUACGCCCCGCCGACAGAAAGGAAGAGGUUUUAUCAGAAUGUCAGCAUCACACAGGGUGAAGGUGGCUUUGAGAUAAACCUGGACCACAGGAAGCUGAAAACUCCCCAAGCCAAGCUCUUUACCGUCCCCAGCGAGGCCCUGGCUAUUGCAGUGGCUACUGAGUGGGAUUCCCAGCAGGAUACCAUCAAGUACUACACCAUGCACCUGCUCUCUCUCCUAGGAACACUGUGCUGGAUGGCUGGUUUCUCCUUUGGUUUCAGGACAGAUGUUACCUUCAUUGACU
rnacentral:sRNA from 1 species